CCAACCCACCCAAUAUCUUUCUUUUCCUUCUCCUCUAAACUUAACGUCGGCGUUAUCUGCUUCUCCACCGUGCUUUCAGAUUGGUCAAUCUCCUUUCAUCUUCACAACAGAACACGAGCCACCUUAAAGAUUUUUUUCCCCUUUCGACAAUUUUUUUUGAUAAAUUGUUUAUCCUAAUUUCGCUUUAAGGUUUAACAGCGGUUUCUUUUUAUUAUUAUUAUUGUAAUUAUUAUGACGUAAUGACGUAAUUCCAAUCUUUUCUGUAAUGACUCCAUAAUGGCGAUUAGUGAAGUUUCUCACCUGUGUCAGCGAUUUAGCACGAAGAAUACGAUGCGUCGUUUCUGGUUCUGGAUGUUCAUGUUUGAGCAACGAUCUUGUGUAUGUACAGUUACUGCUCUGAGGUUUUGAAUUUUCAGUAAGUUACGGAAGACCUCAGUAAGUUCUUCAGCUUAGUUAGGGUUUGGAAGAUACUUACAAAGAAAAAUUGAAUCACUUCUUGCAAGGGUUGGUGUUUGGUCUAGAUCCAUGGUUGGUUUUGAAUAGUUUUGUGUGUUGGAUUUGAAGUGAAUGGUUUUAGAAAGUGAGAAUUAUUGUAGAAAGGGUUUUGUUUGAGAGCGCUGUGGAUAUUUGGUCAAGGCAUUUGUUAGUCUUUCUUUAUUCGUUGUAUAUAUAUAUUUUUUAAUUGCAUAUCUAGUGAUUUGCAGUUGCAUUUGGGUUGGGGUUCGUGGAGAUUGUUGAAUGUGUGCUGUUUUUCUUUGGAUGAGGACGGGUUAUAUUCACUGUAAAUUUGGGCAUUCUGGAUGACAAGGGUUGUCCAGAUGAGUGUCGAUGGCGACAGCAAAGAUCUGAAAGAACUGAGUCAGCGCUUACGAGAUGGGAAGAAGAUUGCUGGCGGGGAACAUGAGUUAUGCGAGGGUGAUGAAGUGAAAUGUAAUGGAUUAGCUGAAGGAGUUAAGGCUGGACAGGAGGGGACUGUGGAGUCCUCUGCUCCGCAGCAUAUUCCACAGCCUCAAGGGGCAAUAAUUUGUUGGGAGAGAUUUUUGCAUAUUAGAUCCCUUAAGGUUUUGCUUGUGGAGAUUGAUGACUCUACUCGUCAUGUUGUCACUGCACUGCUUCGCAAUUGUAGUUAUGAAGUUAUUGAAGCAGCUAACGGAUUGCAAGCUUGGAAGAUAUUGGAGGAUUUAACCAAUCAUAUUGAUCUCAUUUUAACUGAAGUGGCAAUGCCUGGUUUAUCAGGCAUUGGUCUUCUAUACAAGAUUAUGGGCCACAAAACUCGGAAAAAUAUUCCAGUAGUUAUGAUGUCAUCUCUUGAUUCUAUGGGUUUAGUCUUUAAGUGUUUGUCAAAGGGUGCCGUUGACUUUCUAGUCAAACCCAUUCGGAAGAAUGAGCUCAAAAACCUGUGGCAGCACGUUUGGAGAAGAUGUCACAGUUCUAGUGGGAGUGGCAGUGAAAGUGGAACGCAUACGCAGAAGUCUGUAAAAUCAAAGAGUCUUGAGAAGUCUGAUAAUAAUUCUGGUAGCAAUGAUGAAGAUGAUAAUGGAAGUGUAGGCCUGAAUAAUGGGGAUGGAAGUGACAAUGGUAGUGGCACUCAGAGCUCAUGGACCAAACGUGCUGUAGAGGUUGAUAGUCCCAAACCUGUCUCUCAGUGGGAUCAAAUAGCUGAGUGCCCUGACAGUACGUGUGCUCAAGUUGUUCACUCGAAUGCUGAAAUCGGUGGGAACAAGGUGGCUCCCCUCGGUGCAAAGGAGUGUUCAGAACAGAAGGAACAACUUGUCAAAACUGCAGGUUCUAAACAUAGCAAUGCACCUGAUGCCGCCCCCUCUAAACCACUGGACCUUAAUUGUGAAAAUCAAUCUAGCAAGCUAAGGUGCAAAGGUUUAUCAUUGUCUGAAGCCAUUACUAGCAGUUCUGAUUCUCAGAUGCAUAGUGGAGAAUUUGAAGCCUUAAAUAAAAGGCUGAAGCCCUCAGAUACUGAAAAUAAAGGUACUAAUAAUGAUGAAGAAUUGCCAUCUCUUGACCUUAGUUUAAAGAGGCUUAGAGGAGUUAAAGAUGCUGAUAUUACAAUUCAGGAUGACAGAAAUGUCUUAAGGCGUUCUGAUCAGUCUGCUUUCUCAAGGUACAAUGCAGCCUCUAACACUAAGAAAUCUCCCACUGGAUGUGUUGGAAGUAAUUCUCCCUAUAAUAAUAGCUUAGAAGUUACAAAGAAAGAUUCAUCUCGUGAUAUUCAAUCUCAUUCAAGCGGCAAUCUUCCUAACCAAAAUUCAAAUGGUGCUAGCAAUAACAUUGAUAUGGGUUCCACUACUAAUAAUGCUUAUGCUAAAUCUGCAGUUAUAAGUGAACUAGCAGUGGCUUCAACCAAAUGUUUGUACCAAACAUCUGCUUUCCAGCCUAUAAAAAACAACCUUGUCUGUAACUCUCAACAAGUCAUCUUACAUAACACUGAAGAUAAAGCAGCAAGAAUGCUGGCACUACCUAAAGUAGACAGACAUAGAGAUUCUGCUGCUCCAGACUUCCAUCUCCAUUAUGAAAAUGGUAACUGUACUGAUGACAUGCACCAGCUGCCAUCUGAUCAUGAUACUGAAUCUGCAAAGAAAUUGGCUACUGCUGCUACUCCGCAUUGUGGUUCAUCAAAUGUGGUAGAAGUGCUAGUAGAAGGUAAUGUUGGAAACCUCAGUAACAAUAGAAGUGUUUCAGGCAGCAACAAUGGAAGCAAUGGCCAAAAUGGGGGCAGCACAGCAGUUAAUGCUGGAGGAACAAACAUGGAAAGCGACAAUGGACUCCCUGGGAAUAGUGGCAGUGGCGAUGCUAGUGGAAGUAGAAGUGCCAACAGAGUAGAUCAAAACAAGACUUCUCAAAGGGAAGCAGCCUUGACUAAAUUUCGCCAAAAGAGAAAAGAAAGAAAGGAGAGGUGCUUUCAUAAAAAGUUGUUAAAAGAGGAGUGAAUAGUGGAUUUGAGAAUGAUGCAUGAUUGAGCUUCAAUUUUCAACCAACGGGAAGCUUCAUCAGCAUCAAUAGAAGACACAUUCUGGGUUCGAUAUCAGAGCAGAAAGAAAUUAGCUGAACAACGACCUCGAUUUCGUGGACAAUUUGUUCGACAGUCGUCUAACGAAAAGACAAGUGAGGCAACGACAGAGAGGUGAUUCUGAUUCAGAGCAUUAGCCACAAUGCCAUAGUGAUGACGAUAUGCGAGGAAAGGUCGAGAAGUCUUCAUGUGGAAUUUGGGGAUUUUUCUGUUUUGUGUUAAUGUAUAAUGACUCUGGUUAUUCCAACUCAUUUGGAACCUGAAUUAAUUUGUGGCGAGAGAGAUUGUCAUGCUGAUUGAUGCCAGGACAACUUAUAGCGAAUAUGUAAUUUCAAUUACUUUUUCGAUGAUCUUGUUCUUGAAGUAUUAAUGUGUUGGUUAACAUAUCCUAGUUACUUGGUUGAGUUA